CACACACAGCCUGGGCUGGAAUUACUAGCUUAGUGAUCUUGGGUACUUGGCUCAAUCUAUUGGAAUCUCAGUUUCCAUGUUUGAUUGACUCACAUUACAAUGUUCUUCUAUAUUUUCUUCUAAAAGUUUUAAACUCUUAAUCCAUCUUCAAAGAGUUUUGUGUGGUAGGGAUACAAUUUCCCUGUAUGGAGCCAACUGUCCAAGCACAAAUUUAUUGAAUAGUUCUGCUUUGCUGGAGUCAUCGUAUACCAGAUUUCUCAUUUUACCCAGCUGGGUAAUUUUCAACAUUGCUGUGUUCAUAUCUCCUGAGAUUAUUAGAUGUGAAUACUUUUUAUAAACAGAAUUCUCUGGGGUGGAACUUCUCAGCCUCUGUAGAUCAAGGAAUGGACGUAUCCCAAGAGAGCUGUGAAUAUUGAAACUGCACGAGCAGAGCCCACACUUGUUCAGCCUGGACGUGUUUGGAUAUUUACCACUGCAGAUUUCGAAGAUUGUCUACACUGAAGACAGAGCCAGAACAUUCUCCAGAUUCUCUAUUUCACGCUUCACUGAAGAAUUCAACAAUAGAUUGUGUGUUGCUUUUCAUUUAUAUAGCAAAGAUGGAAGCAAAAAACAAAUUACGAAAAGUAGAAUAUUUAAAAUGGCUCCACUGAAGAGAACUGGAAACCUUUCUAAAAACAGUUUUGUCAGGUAGAUAGUGAGGAAUUCUGGGUCUCCUAGGGACAAAAGUGGGUGACGCUGCAGUUCACCCACCAUGGGCUUUCGGAGAGGCUCAUGGGAGAUCCACAUGCACAGUAAGGCUCAGGUCACGUGACUCAACUGUCCAAUCAAAGGGGUUCUAUGGUGACAUCUGAGCCACAAGAGACGUCCUCACCAGGGCACUAUGAAACAAGACCCCCACCAUUACUGGGCCCUCCCUUUUGCUGUCCCUUUGCUGUGACAGUGGCCUCAAGUUGUCAUCUGUGGCGUAUGUACCACACUCUGUAAACCUAUACCUUGCUCUUGCCCUAUAAUCCUACCUUUCUCUUAAACCUCAUUUUCAUGUUUGCCUUACUUUGGUGUCUGUGGUCAUUCUUUGGCCAUAAGUGCACCAAGAACCGACAUUUCAGACCCAGAAACCCUGAGUUUUGCCUGAGGCCAUCCCUUACCUGAUUAUAGAAAUAUUUUUUAGUGUGUAUUUAUGGAUUUUAGUUCUCACAACCUUAGGAAACCUUUGAAAAUGCAUUCAGAAAAAAUGAGAAAUUUUAGAUUUGGCGAUUUCAAUUCAAUUUAACAAAUAUUUGCAGAGUCUGCAUAAUGUGCCUAGCAAUACAUCCAGGAGGAGCUUUUUAUCAGAAUAUAUUAAAUUUUCUAAAUAGAUUUCUUAGGAACUAA